AUUCAUUUGAUUCAGUAGGGGGCCAGUGAGAGGGGAGUCAAAGAAGGAAUCCGAGUUUUUGACUUGAGUGACUAGCGAAUAGUGCCGUUAAAAGAAAUGAAGCUCGCUGAAGGAAGUCCUCGUAGCGGCUUGUUUGUGAGGGAAAAUGCCGUUUGGUUUUGGUCAUUUGGAGUUGGAAGGCAUUGUUGGAUAUCCAGUUUUUAUAGUGGAAGGCAGGGGGCAGCAGAGUCCCACUUUUCAAAGGAGAUUCCAGCCACAACUUCAGAAGAAACGUUGCUCCCCACCCCCUCCCGCAACUUGUAUCUUUUUUUGUUAACGAUACCAUAUCCCCUUUUUAAAAGUUGGAGAACAUAAUUUGAUUCCAAAGUCUCUGUCUUUGGGUACAGCAUUCGGAUCUGAAGGCUAACUUUGGGCAAGUGUGCCUCCAAGCUGAAUGUAUCAACUUCUUUUAAAGAAAAGGAGUUAAGAACUUAUUUACUGGUGAUGGCCUGAUGCUAUUUCAGUAGAAGGCUUGGCGUUGGACUGGAAUUGCGGAUUUUUAGCGUGAGGGCUGACUCUAUCCUGGAGACUACCGUUGGUAUUUAAAGAAAAGAAAUUAGGCCCGCCAGAGCCGCAUUCUUGAGAUACCUUUACUAUUACAGUUAUAGUCAUGGGCUCUGCUCUGCUGUCUUCCAGCAGGUGAUGUCAUCGCUGGUCACAGGACAGUGGGGCCUACUGCUGACCUGCAGCGUGCAGGUCGCUCUGGGCCCCGGGGCUGUGCUCCCAGGCUUGCUUCUCUGUGGUCUGCUUUGUUAACACACACAAGGACCACAUCUACCUGUAUAUUGCUGUGUCUGGCACAGGUGAGCUACGGAAGAGGUACCUGAUCAUUUUGUUGAAUAGGCACCACAACCUUUUCACUUCAAUGUCAUAAUGGGAUUUUUAAUAAAAUUUCUCUUAAAAAAACGGGGUUGUUAUCCCCAGUUUUUAAACUUGUACUUCUCUUUCCAGAUGUCGGACAUUGUCCAUGGGAAUAAGUACAAAAGGUUUAUGGGGUCCCGGGGUAAGAUAGGGACAGCGUGCAGCUCAGUGCCAAGUGGCUGUUCGGGGAUGAGCCUCCAGCAGGGACUGGCGGGCAUUCAUGCUUUCAAUGUGGUUCCAUACCUGGGUCACGUCACACUGUCUUCAGUUCUUUGACUGCGUCGUGCCCCUGAAACCUCCAGGCCCUUGUUCAUACUGUUUUCCCCCUUGGCGUGUCCUUCCUCUUUUCUGUUUCAUCAGCUUCUUUUUCCUGCCCUACUUUUUCUUUUUCUCCUCAUAGAAUUCAUUUCUUUUUAUCAAGUUAGGUAGUUUAUCUAUUAUGUUUGUUGUCUGUUCUCCUAUCCUGCUAGGUAGCAUAUAAGCUCUGUGAGAGCAGGGAUCUUUGUUGGUCACUUAUAGAUCCCCAGCACCCAGAAUACUGUUUAGAAUAUAAUAGGAACUCAAUAAAUAAUUCGUUAAGUGAAGAAGUGGGUCCCCGAAGGCUGGACUUCUAUGUCAUUGCCUCCGUGAAGCCUUCUAUGUCUGACUUCUCCCAAUCCUGGAUAAGAUUUGUUUAUCUGUCCUCUAUUUUCCUGUGGCACUUUGUUUCUAUUUGUAUUAUAGCAAUUACCCUACUGUAUGAUAGUUGCUUUAUAUUUUGAUGACAAUAACAAAAAAUAAUGUAACAGAAUUUUAAAUUGGAAGUUUUGAUGGAGGCGCCAAGAUGCAAUAAGUACAAAAUAUCUGAGAUAUCAUCCAAAGAUGGACAUUUCCAUGAGUUUCCUGAUUCCGAAAAAAACAAACAAAAACCACCACCACCAAAAACACUUACAUUGUGGACAUUGAAGGAUCAAGAGAGUAGAGACCAGUAAAGGUUUGAUGAGGAGAAUUUCUUUUGAAAGAGUUGUGCUGGGAGUCCCCCACCCCUACCAGGAGGGGCAGGGAGGGUGCUUCUACCUUCAACUUGAGCCAAGGAAGGGGCUCACAGGGACUACAUGGAGAUAGUGUGUCUCUGGCAGUGAGGGAAACACGAGUCCUUUUUGAGUCUUGCCUGGAAAUGGCAAAAGGCAAAGACAGGUCAGACGGCUGCUCUGAUCCUGGGAACAAGGAGGCCCCCCCAGAGUCUGGGUGAAUCAUGUGAGAGACUGAACCAGCCGGGUCAUUUUCAGUCCUCCCCAUGAUUGCUACCUGAAGGCUCCCCUCCAGGACAGCUGGAGACAAAGAAGGUGGCCAGCCGGAGUAAAAUGCAUUACCUUUGACAAAGGAAGAAAUGUAGUCAAAUAUUACUAAAAAAAGUCUUUUGCAGAGGAGGCUUUGAACAAUUCAGGAAAUUGUUGGAAAGCAUCAUCUUUAAACACCCAAAGCAAAGAAUUUUCCAAAUGCAAGAAACUGGCCCCAAAGAGAAUCUGUCAAAACAAGAACUUCCUGGUCCCUCUUUACCUCUCCUCCAUACCGCCUCUGGCAGGGUGAGAAACCUAGUGAUUACAGCUGGGAGAGGAGGAAUCCUGAGCACUGGGAGGCACAUGGUCUGGGAAGAGGCAGAGGAUGAGGCCUGUCUUUCUAUAAACACUGUCAGUCUUCAGCAACCCCCUCCCAGAGAUGAUUUACUGACUUACCACUAAACCAGCUUCGUACUUUUAAGGACUGGACAUUCUGAUUUCUGAAUUCAGACUGUUUUUAUGCCAUAAAGUGAUCUGAGUAAUCUUUUUAUUACCUAGGAAUCUUAAAAAAAAAUUUCUUUUAAUGUUUAUUUUUGAGAGAGACAGAGACAGAGUGUGAGUGGGGGAGGGGCAGAGAGAGGGACACACAGAAUCUGAAACAGGCUGCAGGCUCUGAGCUGUCAGCACAGAGCCCGUCGCGGGGCUCGAACUUGUGAACCAUGAGAUCAUGACCUGAGCCGAAGUCAGAUGUUAAACCGACUGAGAGUCCCUUCUGCAUAAAUUUUAAAGGACCAGUGUUAGCAUGCUUUGUGAUUACCUCCUAUGAGCCCUGCUUGUUCACAGCAUCAGCAACAUCAUAUUAGCUAAUGUUUACUGUGUGUCCACUGUGUUUUCUUGGCACUAUGCUAUUAAUGUAUUUGUCUCAUAGUUCCGCCCAACAACCCUGUGUGGUAGGAGCUCUUAUCCUAUUUCACAUGCAGGACAUCUGAAGUUGAAAGACAUUCACUAACUUCCCUGAAGUUUACAUACUUAGAAGUAGAGUUAGCAUUUGAACCCAGGUGAUCUGACUAUAUUCUUUACUAGAUUCACAUUUCCUCAGGAAUAGGACUGUGCUCAUGUCUGUAUUCCCCACGCACAGCACAGGGUCUGACCUUUAGUGCUCCACAACAGUUUAAACAGAUGAGCGGUCCAUAAAUGUCGUUGGCAAUAUUUCACAGUAACGCAUACAAAAUUCAGCAAAAUAUAAUAACUAGGAGCUUAGGCUUUGGAGUCAUCGGACAUGGUUUUGAAUCCUGGUUCUGUCUCUUCAUAGCUGUUCGGUCUUCAGGAAAAUUACUUAACCUGUCUAUGCCCCAGUUUCCUCAUAACAGAAUGGAAUAACAACCCCUCCAUCAUAGGAUUGUGCUGUGCUGCAAACCAAAGAAGAUUAUAAAUAUAUAAAGCAACUGACAGUGCCUACCACUUAGCACACAGUGAACGUACUUGCCAUAGCAUGUGGCUCAACAGGAUGAUGACUUUUACUUAUUUGGGUUUAGUGCUCCACUGAAUUCUGAAUCAGCAGAGGUACAGUUUGAUAAUGGUAGACAGACCCAACCCUAAUCAAGCUGUGAAGUACAAUGGAAGCUCUUGACCAAACCGCAUGCCAUUUGGUGACCGUGGCUGGCUGAACCCUCCUGUCAUGUGGCUGCUCUCCAGUGUUCCCAUGUGCACCUGCUUCUCUUGUAAGGUGUGUGGUUACAGUGGGUCCCAAUGCUUGUUCCUAACUCUGCUUAUUUGUAAUUAUAAUCACCUAACUUAAUUAAACAUUAUUUAAAUGAAUUACGAAUGGGAAAAGAGUAGAGCACUUUUACAGUUAUCUUCCUGCCUUGCCUUUCCCCUCUAGUUGGAGGGGGGACCUUUGUCUUCAUGCUUACUUCUCUUCCUUCUUUUAGGAGAAAGAACUGACUAAACUCAUUCAUAUGAAGACAUAAGUGACUGCAGCCCCUCUCAAGAUCAAUUGCAUUUUAAUAGGUGUUUAAUGCUGUAGCUAAAGGAAGAAAGCUCUAAAUGUGGGGGUUGAGUACCAAGGACAGGGUGACUAUUUGAUCCUGUCCAAAAACAUGUCAUAAAUCCUCCUUGAUCCCUACUCUCCAUGCUUGGAAGAAUGGUGCUAUUUCUGUUAUAAUUGUGCAUUAUAUCUACAUUCUCAUACCUCUGGACAAGGUAAAUAUAGGCUAGUUGUCCAAUUUGUACUUAUCUGAUUUCACUAAGAGUGGUACACUAUGCGUUAUAAUUAAAUUUGGGAACAGAACCUAUGCUCACAGAAUAGGCUCCCAAAUUUUAUUCUUUUGAGGUAAACCCCAGGUCCAGUGCUACUCACAACACUUAGGUCUGUCUUGUGAGUCCCCCUAUGGUGAAAUGUGUCUUUAUUUGUCUUUGUGCACUGCUUUGGUAAAUGCUCAUGGAACAAACAACUGGAUUCUCACUAAAUAUAUGUCUAUUUUAGGGGCAUCUGGGUGGCUCAGUCAGUUAAGUGGUCAACUUCAGCUCAGGUCAUGAUCUCACGGUUUGUGAGUUCGAGCUCUGAGCUGUCAGCACAGAGCCUGGA